rnacentral:lncRNA from 1 species
AAAAUAACAACAAUCUGAAGUGGUUUUAGAGAGGAUUAUUAUUUAUAGCGGAAACCUAAUGAAUGAGAAUACUCAGGGUGCUCUUGGUUGAAUAUUUUGGUCAAGAGUGUUUAUCACAAAAUGUUUUUUAGUCACAAAACUUUGAAUUUAAAAUCUUAUUAAAAAUCUGAGUUCACUCCCCUGUGUGACAACCAAGAGUCUCUCAGUAAUCCAUCCUCAUCCCCUUGUGCCUGCCGAACUGUCGCAGCUGUCAUCCCAGUGCCUGCAGCAUUUAGUACACCUCCUCGUCUGUCUCCCCCACGCUGUGAACUGCUAAGGGUGGGCACCUUAUCUCAUCCUCUUUGUGUCCUUCCCCCUCCCCCUGCCUGCGAAAGUCUCCGAAAUUGUGCUGUGAGAUGAGUGAGCAUCAGAGAUAUGAUGAUUGAGUUAGGUGUUAAUCAAAUCCAUAGUUUCCAUUUGGUAAGAAGAUGAAAGCAUUCAAGUCAGAGAGAUCUAGGUUUGACUCAGAGCAGGUUUCUGGCUGUGUGACCUCAGGCAAGUUUAGUUUUCUCACCUGAAAAUAGGGGUGAUUUUUUUUAAAAAAAGGGAUGAUAAAUCUAAUUCACAGAGUUAGAUACUGUAAGGUAGGUAAGAUUUAGGAGAAGUCUAAAAGACAUCUUUUAGAGACCUCAGGGCUCUUUGACCUAGGUCAAAUCCAGGGCUCUUUUAUUUGCUAAUUGUGUGACCUUGGACAACUUAUUUAACAUCUCUGGGCCUCAGUUUUUUUCAUUUGUUAAAAGGAGAUGAUAAUAUAAUAAUACUUCUUCAGUUGCAUUGGGAGAAUAAAAUAAAUUUAACAUGUGGAAAGUACCUAGAGUAUAUUUGCACAAAGUCAGCACAUGUAAAUGUUUGCUGCUGCUCUUAUUAUUAUCAUUAUUACUACUGUUAGGAAUCAUCUCCUUGGGAAGCUACAACCAGUUAACCAUGAAGCAGUGUACAAGCAAUACAGGUCGGUAGCCAAUUAAAUGCUAAAUUGAAUGGUGCAAAUGUAAUUGCUAUGAGAGUUCAGCAAAUGGAAAGGUCAGAGGAGGCUGGAGUCAGGAGAGAUUUUAAGCCAAAGCUUUUAAAAUCAACUUGUGAAAGGUAGAGGGGUGUUAUCUUUGGAUCUGGAGGUGGAGAGGAAACAUGUUACUAGGAAUGGGUGAGGCCACACCUCUUCAUGGAAGGGGUCUGCUUUCUCUCUCUCGCUCUCUCGUUUUUUUUUUGUUUUUUUUGUUUUUUUUGUUUUUUUUUUUGUCUUUUGUCUUUUCAGGGCUAUGCCUGCAGCAUUAUGGAGGUUCCCAGGCUCGGGGUCGAAUCGGAGCUACAGCUGCCAGCCUAUGCCACAGCCACAGCUACAGCAACACAGGAUCCAAGCCGAGGCUGCGACCUACACUACAGCUCAGGGCAACACCGGAUCCUUAACCCACUGAGCAAGGCCAGGGAUCAAACCCAAGUCCCCAUGAGUACUAGUCGGAUUCCUUAACCACUGAGGCAUGACAGGAACUCCUGCUUUUUCUCUUGAUGGAUGUUUACAGACCUGGAUCUUAUCUGGCUCAUCAUCUGGGGCUCAGGUUCUAGGUGAUGAGUUGUUCUAAAUGGAGAGCUGAGAAAAGGGAGACUAAUGCUGUUGUGUUCCCAUGGAAGACAAUCAAACAAAGCUAAACAUAGCUGGAGUCAAAGAACUUAUGACUGCUAGCAGACACGGGACUGCGCCACCAAACAAACCCCAAGGCGCGUUCCCUCCCUGGGGAGAUGAGGCCAGAAGCAGUUUUUGUUGCUUCCCUGGCAGAGCUGUGGGCCCAUUCUGGCUCAGUUGGGAAGGGAGGUGAAGUCUGUUCUUUCAAGGGUCGCUUACCUGCCCCCUAUAAAGAAUCCCCAGGGCCUAGAUUCUGGAAAGGGAAGGGAAAGAGAGAACGUAAAUAUGAAACUUUGCCUUGUUAGCCCAUGAGAUUCAUGUUCACACCCCUCAAGCUGUUUGCAGGAAGAAAUGAGGGUAUUAAAAUAGAGGAAAAUCCCUACCUGCUUUUUUCCUCAAAGCAGAGUUCACUUGUGACUUAAAGGGAGUGAAUGUUGUUACUCUGAGGAAACUGAACUAUGCUCAGAGGGUUUGCGUUUGCUGUCAACUGAUAGCAGCCAAAGAAUGGCCCAGGAAGACAGAGGGCCAGGUAACAUUUCCCUCUUCCCUGGAGUCCCAGCCUCACUUGGAGUGGCUGGCCAUAAUGGGGGCUAGAGGUGAGGGGCCAAGUCCUCUGGGCACUGAAGGUCCUCCUGGCUUUAGACCCCACAGGCCAAGGAGGUGCCUUUCCCCAGAUCUCCUCUGAGGUGGAAGAAAGCAAAUCACUUCCUAAGUCACUUACUGUAUGAUCCAUUAAACCAUGGAUGUAACCAUUUGCUGGGUAGUGUACCACCACUUCAGCUAUGGUCUUUAGGAAAUUUAUUUAUUUAUUUAUUUAUUUUUGGCUUUUUUUUUUUUUUGGUCUUUAGGACAAAAAUCUUUUCCCCCAGUAUCAGGAAGAAAGUAAAGAAUAUAUAAGUAGGAGUUCCCGUUGUGGCUCGGUGGUAAUGAACCUGACUAGUAACCGUGAGGAUGUGGGUUCAAUUCCUGGUUUCAGUGAGUUAAGGAUUCGGCGCUGCUGUGGCUGUGGCGUAGGUUGCAGACGUGGCGUAAGCCGGCAGCUGUAGCUCCAAUUGGACCCCUAGCCUGGGAACUUCCAUAUGACACAGGUGUGGCUCUAAAAAGCACACACACACACACACACACACACACACACACACACACACGGAAUAAAUAAGUAAAUAAUAACCAGAGAAUCUGAGUCCAGGAGUAUCUAGGGGGCAAGUUAUCAGAACCAUCCAGUGCCCUACCUAAGACAGGUGGAAAAAACUGAUCCUUUUCUUCAUCAGUGCUUAGGUAUAUAAUUUUAAUAAAUAGGGAAGGAUAAGGUGAAAGUUUAACAGUCUCCUUACCUCUCCCUGUACACAUAGGGAACAGUUGAAUAAAAAGCUAAGGGAAUUUGAUUCUGAAGUUCCCUGAAGAGCUGGAGAAACCUCCUCACUGGGGACCUGACCCUGGGAGAAUCAACUCACAGCCCCUGUGGGCAAACAGGCCGGGAAGCAUUGCUAGAGGGGCAAGACCCAACUAGCUAGUCCCUGUUGCCCUGGGUGAGCCCAGGAGAGAGGUGGUUGCUGCAUAACAGCAGGGCCAUUCUUUGCAGAUCACACCCCACACCUGGAUUUGCACCUAGAAGCUUAGCCAGUUAACUAUGUGCAUGGUUUUUUAAGGAGCAGACUUGAGGAGACAACUAGUGAUUAAACUCUUAUCCUUUCCUUCCAUGCUUUAAACAAAUAUUUGUUUAUUUUGGUCUUUUUAGGGCUGCACUCAAAGGAUAUGGAAGUUCAGGUGAGGGGUUGAAUCAAAGCUGCAGCGCCGGCCUACACCACAGCCACAGCAAUUUGGGUUCGGAGCCACAUCUGUGACCUACAGCACAGAUCACAGCAACACCGAGUCCUUAACCCACUGAGUGGGGCCAGUGAUCAAACCUGCUUCCUCAUGAAUACUAGUCGGGUUUGUCACCACUCAGCCAUGAUGGGAACUCCAAAAACUUUUUAUUUGUUUAUUUUAAUUCUUCUAUUCUUUUAUCUUAACCUGGUCCUGACACAAGACUGAAGAUUGCUGGUGAAUUUUUCCAUUUCGCACCCUUAUUUUGCCAGGUGAUGGAUCACCCAAUCAUUAAGAAUUAAGCACAUGCUUCCAGCUAAGUCAAAGUUUUUUGAGAGAUUAAUAUUUUUUCAACUGUCAGAAGUAUUGCCAUAGUCAUAGGAAAAAUCAGGACUUGGUAAGAUUUCUUUGUUUUCAUAGUACUUUUAAUUUGAAUUAUAAAUGCAGAGAAGGGAGGAGACGUAACCUUUUCAGUGUUUUUCAGGGACCAUUAAGGGUCUUAAUCAGGCCUGAUAUCCCACAAAGUUUUCAGAGUGCCCUUUGAGGAAGUGUAGUGCUACCUAAGGCCCAGGCCACUGGAAAAGGAAUUAAAUUUCACCGGUAAGAGGGUGCCCUUCCAUUCCAGGAGCUCAGAACACUGACCUUGGCCUUUUGGAAGUGUAUGGACAUUUCUGUCUUCAAGAAGCUGCUUUGGUUUGGUUUUAACUUUACACAAGUAAUACAUGGAAAUAUUGUCCUUGAAAAGCGUUUAAAGGACAAACGAAAACUAAAAAGUCCCCUAUGACCAAUACCAUCCAUCCUGGUUUCCUCCUCUUCCCCAGCAAAAAACCUCUGUGGUUACUUUGAGUGAUCUCCUUCCAUGUUGUUGUUAUUUUAAAAAAAUCUUUUCCAACCUGCACAUAUGCCCAUAUUUAUGGUAUUGUUUUAUGUAUUCCUGUAACAUAAGUGCAAUCACACUGUAUGUGUUAUCCUAAAAAUUGCUUUUUCCCUCAACUACAUGUCUUGGGACUUUUCUAAAUUAGUACUGCAGAAACCAACAAUCCACCAGACUCAUACAGAGAAUGCUUCAAAGUGGAAAAGUCUAAGCUACAGAAGAUGCUGAAAGAAAUCUCAUUAGAACUUCUUUAUUGAUCAAAACAGAGCUCUACUAGAGCCAGCUUCCAGCACUCUCCCUCCGUCACCCUCAUAGCUCAAAUCAGGAAGCCUGACCUUGGGGCAUCCCCCCUAAAAUUGUGUAAAUACAUCUCACCAUCCUUUGUAGCCCCAAGCCCCUCCUCUCCUAUUAAGCUGAUAUAUAAUCCUUUAUCCUUAGCUAUUCUGGGAGCUGUUCUGGAGUACCACAGGGAGUACUGGGGGCUGGUCCUCCAUUCAUAAUAUAUUUUUCUCCUAUUGAUUUGUCUAUUAUCAGUUCAUGUGCAGCCUCCUUCCCUCAGAUGGACCUAAGUUAGCAGAGAAGUUUUUUUCUCCCAAAAGUUUAUCUCAUUAAUUUCAACUGCUGUAUAGUAUUCCAUAGAUAUAAUGGUUUGGUGGUUUUUUGUUUUGUUUUGUUUUCUUUUCUUUUUAGGGCUGCACUUGUGUCUAGGGGUUGAAUUGGAGCUGUAGCUGCUGGCCUAUGCCAUAGCCAUAGCCAUAGCAACGCAGGGUCCGAGCCGAGUCUGCGACCUACAUCACAGCUCACAGCAACUGCAGAUCCUUAACCCACUGAACAGGGCCAGGAACAACUGUGUCCUGGUGGAUACUAGUCAGAUUCGUUUCUGCUGAACCACAAUGGGGACUCCUGGUGUGUGUGUGUUUUUUAAAUCCCUAUCAAUGUGUUUUUAGGUUAUUCCCAGUUUUUCCCCAUUGCAAACAAUACUGCAGUGAACAUCCUUGCAUGUGCCUCACUGUAUACAUGUGCAAAUAUAUUUUUGGAAACAGGAAUUGCUGUAUCAUGGGUUAUAUGCUUUUUAGAUUCUAGACACUGACAAAUAGACUGUCGGGUAUGAUAAAUGUUUAACAACUAGUCUCCCAAAAAGGGGGGUUAGAGACUGAUUUGUAGCAUUUAUUCUAUUUCCAUCGUGUGAGUUCUCCCACCAUAGCCAAUUUCAAACUACUAAUGUGGCAUUACCGAACUUGGAGUUAAGAGGAGAUAAUCACAAUUGGCUCUGGCAAGCUGGUAUGAACUGGCUCCAGCACAGUUCCCUGAAUUCCUCAAAUUCAGGACGCAGCCAGAUAUUGGCAAAUAGCCUCUAAAGUAGCCAACCAACUUGUACUUUCACAAGUAGUGUGGAAAAAUAUCUUAAUAAUAACGCUCUUUUGCCAAUAUGAGUCAAAAACAAUAUCUCGUUUUGCCUUGCAUUUUUCCAGUUAUCAGUGAGGUUGAGCAUCUUUUCACAUCUUUGCUAAUUUCCUCUUCUGUGAAGUGGCCCAUAUUCUUUGCCUGUUUGUUUUUAGUUAUUUGUCUUUUUCUUAUAAAUUUUUAGGAGACCUUGAUAUAGUGUGAAACUAUAUUGUCCAUCAAGGAGCUUUCAAUCUAUUUUAGAGAAUAAAAUUGGAGGAAUAUUUCCAAAUUUUAUUGAGUACCAGCUACAUGAACCUAUCCAUCAGGGACUGGGACUGAGAGAAAAGUACCCAUGGUGUACCUCCAACUCUGUGUGUACUUGUGUACAAUUGUGGUAGGGUCAGUUGAACACAUACAUGCAUACCAGUAAUACUAAUAAAAACUAAGCAUUGUGAAAAAAUGGAUAAAUUGUAUUUUGGCUCAGUCAAGCUAUUUUUCCUUUUUUCACAAGAUUCUUGCCUAUCCUUACUUCUGUUGGGAUCACUUAGGUCACUGGACUUUUUCCCUGAGAGAAGGCUUGCACAUGGCAUUUCCUGGUGACACUACAGUCUCUUGUGAGACUUUCUGUGAGGCCUCAUCCCUAUUCUUUUCACUGAUGGCCCUGAUCUGAAAAGCUGGAGUGUGUUCUUCCUCCCUGAAAAUGCCUGGCUGCCCCAGCAGUGUGCGGAUUUCUGGGAUGAAUGAAGAACUACACUUUUUCUCUGGGGUGGACUGUUCUCUGAAUCCCUCAAAUGCAGGAUGUAGGAAAUGGCCUGUUCUUACUAGGCCAGGGCUGUGUUGGCAGCAACAUAAUAGAUGUCAUCUGAGGUGGGAGUGGUUAUCUGCAAAAGGCACUUGUGACUGUUUCUAAUUUGCUGCUCAGAGAGAUUUUGUACUUGAACCACCUAUCAAAAGUUUUCAAUCAAAAAGAUAUUGAGGAGUUCCCAUCAUGACUUAGCAGAACUGAAUCUGACUAGUAUCCAUGAGGAUGCAGGAUCAAUUCCUGGCCUUGCUCAGGUGGGUUAAGGAUCCAGCAUUGCCGUGAACUAUGGUGUAGGUCGAAGACACAGCUUGGAUCCCACAUUGCUGUGGCUGUGGCUGUGGUGUAGGCCAGCGGCUACAGCUCCAAUUAGACCCCUAGCCUGGGAAUCUCCAUGUGCCACAGGUGCG